GUCUGGCCUGCCCACUGAGUAUACUUGAAGGGCCGCGGUAUUUUAACCGUGCGAAGGUAGCAUAGUCAAUAGUCUUUUAAUUGGGGGCUUGAAUGAACGGUUGGACAUAGGGAAUACUGUCUCAAUUUAACGGGGGUGAAAUUAACUUUUAUGUGAAAAGGCAUUAAUAUUUUAGGGGGACGAUAAGACCCUAUAAAACUUGAUGAUUAAUACGGGUUUUGCAAUUUAGGGGUAAGGUGUGGUCUUGGUUUAGUCAUUGUGCUGGGGCGGCAAAAAUAAAACUUUUAACUGUUUUUAAAAAAAAAUAAUUAUUCUUAGAGUAUGACCUUAAAUUUUAGGUUAAAAGGUAAAGUUACUUUAGGGAUAACAGCGUUAUUUCUCUUGAGAGUUCAUAUCGACGGAGAUGUUUGCGACCUCGAUGUUGAAUUAAAGUUUUUCCUAGGAGCAGGAGUUUAGGUGGUGGGUCUGUUCGACCCU
rnacentral:rRNA from 1 species